UACGUAGGGGGCAAGCGUUGUCCGGAUUUACUGGGUGUAAAGGGCGCGCAGGCGGAUCUGUUAGUCAGGGGUGAAAUCCUACGGCUCAACCGUAGAACUGCCUCUGAUACUGCAGAUCUUGAGUUCGGAAGAGAGAAGCGGAAUUCCAGGUGUAGUGGUGAAAUACGUAGAUAUCUGGAAGAACACCAGUGGCGAAGGCGGCUUCUUGGUCCGCAACUGACGCUGAGGCGCGAAAGCGUGGGGAGCAAACAGG
rnacentral:rRNA from 1 species